rnacentral:snRNA from 1 species
AUGUUCACCUUGGCAACACAUAUACUAAAAUUGGAAUAGUAUAGAGAAUAUUUGCAUAGUCUCUGCAAAGGGAGCACAUACAAAUUCAUGAAGCCUUCCAUAACUUC